rnacentral:rRNA from 1 species
GAUGAACGCUAGCGGCAGGCUUAAUACAUGCAAGUCGAGGGGUAGCAAGAUUGUAGCAAUACAAUUGUUGACGACCGGCAAACGGGUGCGGAACACGUACACAACCUUCCUACAAGUGGGGAAUAGCCCAGAGAAAUUUGGAUUAAUACCCCGUAACAUAGCGAUGUGGCAUCACAUUGCUAUUAUAGCUUCGGCGCUUGUUGAUGGGUGUGCGGCUGAUUAGAUAGUUGGCGGGGUAACGGCCCACCAAGUCUACGAUCAGUAGCUGAUGUGAGAGAAUGAUCAGCCACACGGGCACUGAGACACGGGCCCGACUCCUACGGGAGGCAGCAGUAAGGAAUAUUGGACAAUGGACGCAAGUCUGAUCCAGCCAUGCCGCGUGAAGGAUUAAGGUCCUCUGGAUUGUAAACUUCUUUUAUAAGGGACGAAAAAAGGUCUUUCUAGAUCGUCUGACGGUACCUUAUGAAUAAGCACCGGCUAACUCCGUGCCAGCCGCCGCGGUAAGAC